CCUACGGGAGGCAGCAGUGAGGAAUAUUGGUCAAUGGUCGGGAGACUGAACCAGCCAAGCCGCGUGAGGGAUGACGGUACAGUGGAUUGUAAACCUCUUUUGUCAGGGAGCAAAGGCCGCGACGCGUCGCCGUCCGAGAGUACCUGAAGAAAAAGCAUCGGCUAACUCCGUGCCAGCAGCCGCGGUAAUACGGAGGAUGCGAGCGUUAUCCGGAUUUAUUGGGUUUAAAGGGUGCG
rnacentral:rRNA from 1 species